CAAUCUUUUGGUUGAGAUGUGGUCUACAAUAGUCUGAAAACUGCUGGUAACACAUAAGGGGAUUUCUGCACUUUCAUAGUGCCUAUGUAUUUGAAUACUACAAAAUCAUGCACCCAGGUUUUUGAGCAACCAUCAAUUUGCAAGCAGAGAAGUUCUGUUCUGCAUGCCAUUGUGCUAGGUGAGCAAGGCUGCUCUCCUUCCUUGUGUCCCAUCUGGUGGGAAGUGAUUUCUAUAAUACACCAUUUUGUACUAUGUAUAAUAUAUAUUGACUUCUUAUCACACCUCCAAUCCUGUUCCUUUGUCAAGUGAAUUGAGGCAUUUUCAAAAACACCUAAAUUAUUUAGGGUUAUUUAUAUAUAAUAUAAAUUAUUAUUUUAUUAUUCUAAGGACCAUCAAGACUUCUUCUAUUAAAAGGUUUCUUUCCUGAAGGGGCUUCUUAUUUGUUAGCUAUUGCUUGCCCAUUAUCGGUCUCUGAUAUUGACCCAGAUGUUUUUAAUUUACUUCCCCAAACACACAAUUGCUUUUUAAAAUUGUGCAGAAAGGCAGAGAUUUUGAUCAGACCUGUCUAUCCACUGCUCCCAUUUAGGAGACAUUUUUAAUGGGUUUGGGUCAAUAUGCUCCAUGCCUUGUGGUUAAGACACAGGACCAGAUUCCAGAAGACCCUCCUUCUAUUUCCAGCCCUUCCACCAACUUCCCAUGUAACCAUGGCUAAGGCACUUAACCUCUCCAGUGCCUUAGUUUCCUCGUCUGUAAAUGAGGAUGAUGUCUCAUUCACAGUGUGUAAAGAGCUUUGAGAUCCUCAGUUAGAAAAUGCUGAAGAAGUGCCAAGCAUUACUGUAAAAAUGUGGUAUAGAAAUUAGUUUUGUGCUGAAACUGACAGAAACCACAGGGCAACUGGAAAGAAUGGGAAGAUCAGAAACCAGAGUUUAUGCCAAGGUGAAGGGAGAUGUGGGGGUGAAGUACCACACUGGAUCCCCAACUCCUGGAUAGGAAUUCCCUCCAGUUGUGAAAUUCUCUUUACCAGAACACAGUGGAUAGAGUUUAAUUCCUGCUUCAUCCAUUCAUUAAAGAGGGGAUAAAGCCAGGUGCUCUUCUCUAGCUUCCAUGGCUUUCCCUAGAGAGAGGCACCUGAUAAAUCAUCAGAAGUUAAUGAUCAAAAAGCUUAUCAGGGUCUUUUCGUUUAUAAAUUUAUAAGACAAAAGAGAAAUAAUAAAGCCAUUGGAUAAUUAGUAACUAGCCAGGGCCCGCCCGGUGCAACUGGAGCUCAAACUGCCCCAAGAUCUCUACACAGGCUUAGGGAGAAGAGAGAGAGAAGGAGAUGGGUAAAAGCAAUGUGAAAGAGAGACAGACAGACAGACAGACACUCACAGACAGGUAGACAUAGAAACAGGGUGAUGAGAGACAGAGAGAAGUGGUGGGGGGAUAGGAAAGGAGGAUCUAAGGAAAACAGAUAUAGAACAGGGGAGUUGGAACAGCAAGGGUGUAAGAAAGAGGGAGGGGGACAAAAUUAAAAGGCAAAGACAGGAAAGGGGUUUAUUGGAUGGAAAAGAAGAUUGAAUUACGGGGAGCAUCUUUCCUCUCAGGGAAUAGGUGAAGGAAAGAGAAAUAAAGGAACGGAGAGCAAGAAGGGGAAAGGAAAACCAUGUCCUUACUGUAAUAGUCUCUCCACCACAGCCUUCUGGUGAGCAGCCUCCUCUGGACUUAGGUUUUCCAGCUCCUUCAUUAUUGGAGGGGUAAAUUCCUCCCCAUCGUCCGAGGUUUCCUCCUCGGACAUCCUGGAUUCCUCCAUCCCAUUGGACAGAUUGGGAAUUUCAGCACAGAGUUCCCCUUUUUCCGCCUGGAUGGCACUGAUGGCACGCUGGCUUUCACUCUGGAGGGCAUAGGGGUCCACUUCCCCGAGCGCUUUGAUCAGGGUCUCCUUGGUUAGCCCUGACUCCAGCAGUGCUCCCAGCAGCUCCACCUGAAGAUGACUCAGCUUAGAGACCAUGGUCUUCAGUCUGGUGUCCCUUGGAUUUGAGUUUCAGCACGUUCUGCCUUCAGCCUUCCCUACACCAUGUUCCUGAGGUAAUACACCCAACUGUCAGCAGAGUGGGAAUGGCAUAGACUCCCGCCUUUGCACCCCCCAAAAAAAACAAAAUACAAAAAUGAGCCACUUCAGACCCCCCACGACUGUCCUGAGCCAGUGCUGAUAAAGGGACCCUUGGCUAUCUGUUUACAUUGGAGCAGUGUAAAUUCUCCAAGGUUCAUAUUUAUCCGUGUGCUUAGCAAGUUACUGAACUUUGGACUUCAGCACUGCAGCAGCAGUUCACAAAGUGCAGCGGGGGGGAGGGGAAAAGGUAGGGAGCCAGAAGAGAAAAGGAGAGUAAAAGGAAUGGACAAAGAAAAAGCCAGGAUGGGAGACAGAUAGAAAAGAGAAAUGGAAAGAAAAUUGAAUGAGAAAGUGAGAGCGGAGAAGUCUGACUGGUUCUUGGCCCUAGUGGUUAAGAACAGGGAUAGGCUUGAGGAACCAGAAGCAUGGGGCUAAGCCCCACCAAAACCUUUGGGUUGGGAAUUAGCGGCCUCCGCAGCUUGGCCAAUCUUUGUGUACCACACCCCAGGCAUCAAGUACAACCUCUGGAUUUAUUCUAAUAUUCCAAGAUCUACCAUACUCUCAAAGAGCUCCCAUUGACUUCAGUGGGACAGGCUGGGGCACUAAAUGACUGCUGAGCCAGUUCCCCACAUUGACACUUACCUGUCCCCAUUUCUCUUCAUUGGAACCUACUGCCUUUAUUAUUCUUUUGGUGAGUGCUCACAGUGUGUACUCUUUAUAAAGGAGACAUGGGGCCUGCCCCACUGAAUUUAUAAUCUAAGCAGGCAAACAAAAUAAACAUGCAAGCUGUGUUCUGGGUAUUGGUGCACUUCUAUAGGUUCCUGGCUUGCCUACAACUGCUCCUCCUCUCCCUAUGAGUGCCACCUACAGUGACUUCAUUUAUCAACACCAUAGUUUUACCCCAUUGAUACUAACCUGUUUUAGGGAUCUACUCCUAACUGUUGGAUGUCUUUUUUUAAAAGAUCUGCACUAGUUAAUCCCAAAAGGUAUGGGCUUGAUGCAGGAAUAACUUGGUCAAAUUCUCUGCCCACUGUUGUAUAGGAAGUCAGAUUAGAUGUUAAUAAUGGUCCCUUUUCACCUUAACACUUGUGAAUUAAUGUCUCUGCUCUGAUUGGCUAACAGAAGGCAUAAUUAAAAUUAUCAACUUGUAAUAGUCUAAUCUCCCAAUACUGAUUUUAUAGCUUGUGCCAUCUUGACUGGGAAUGGAUAAUUGUUUCCCCUGUGGGAGCAGAGAGGGGAGGAUUUUAACCAUAAUGUUUUACUGGGGGGGGUCUUUGUAGAUUCUCUCCCGCACAUUUGUCUCCCUUUUGUAUGUUCCCCUCUAAGGCUCAAGAUGAGGAGGACUGGAUGGAGCUCCCUCCACAGCCCAAGGACCGAGCAAAGGUGAUGCUGCAGAGUGACCUGGGGCACUCCCUUCCCUUUGGGGGCUUCCCAAGCCUCACUCUGUAGAGGUUCAAUUGCACAUUGAACCAGCGAAGGACAAAGCUUUUCAAAAUGGAUCCCCGUUAUGACAACACAACAAGCUGGGCCAGUUCUAGGCAUGGGCAAGGAAGGUGCCCUUACCAGCAAGUUCCGAGGGUAUUGGUGGUAUUUUUUUCUUCCACUCGGCUGCCGUCUGUUUUUCUCUGGUGUUUGUUUUCUUUGGCCACAAUAGGGGCACUAAAAACAUUUUCUGCCCUGGCCAGCAAAAUCCUAGGGCUGCUUCUGACAACAAAUCAUCAGUGGAUUGCUGGGUCAGCCCUUCAGCAGGGAUUUUCACUAACAGUUUGCCUUUGUUUCAGAUGUCGUUUGCUCCAGAAAGCACCUCCUCCCCUUGGCAUAGGUUAGAAUACACAAGUAAAGUUAAAAUGGCUAACCUGAAGUCCUGGAACACAGUCUCAGCCUGGUUAAAGGCACAGCAUACUGUAGUCUGAGCCCCAAUUAUAAUAAUGAAUAAUCUCCUUCACUCCCACCCAAACAGUGGACAAGACAGUGUACUGCAUGGGAGUUGUCUUAAAAGUGUUGAAUUGCUGGCAUUUCCUGACAGACUUUUGGAACAAGAUAGAAAAGCUGUCCUCCUCCUCCUAAUCCCCGUUACGGUGAAAAGGAGCUAUUGGUUACAUGUCAGCUGUUCGUGCAAACUGUGAACACCUCACUGGAUGGAAGGGGUACCAAAAUACAUGAUUAUGAAGGGAAAUUCGUUUGUAGUAGAGCAGGAGAGUAAACAGCUAAUUUUUGAUCUGAGGAGAUUCUGUGAAAGAGAGAUAUAUGAUAAGAAAAUAAUCUGGGGAAUGCAAGCAAUGCCCCACCCCACGCUGCUAAGAGUGAGUGCGUGCUGGAGCUGCAGAAAGCAAUAAACCUGCCCUGUGAACUGGUCUAAUUGUUACUGUGUAAUGCUGCUGGAGCAUGCCUGCAAAAUCAUCAUGAAUGUUUACAAGCCUAGGCACAAAGUCUUCUUGCCUGCUUUUAUCAUGUUGCCGCUGAAAAUAUGAUGAUACGUUAAUUGCCCAUCAGAUAAAAUCACGUGUGCCUCAAACUAAUGUGGUAAGUAGAGUUUUUCCAGGCUGUAGAAUUAGAAACCAUUUCAUCAUGGGUGGUCAGCGUGCAUGCUGCUGUUCUAUGGAUACCAGAAUUGUUGUAUGCCUCCUUCCCAGAAGAGUCCAGGAAACUAAUCUGAAGAACUGAAAAGUGCUUGAAAUAUUGAUUUACACUCCCCUCUGAUAGUGGAAAAGAGCAGAUUAUGAUGCUCUACUUUAUGUAAAGACUUGUGAAAAUAAAUUGUUUGAACAGACUGAUGCAUGGUAUGGUGGGAAUCGCUCCCAGUGAAACUCUAUUUGCAGGGCAGUAGAAUUAAAAGUCCCAAAUUCCUCACUGUGUCACAGUUUUCCAAUUUCAGUUCUGGUAAUAGUGAAUUGCUACUUAGAGGGAGACUGUUCAGGGAAAAGAAAAUGAUUUCCCCUGAGAGGGGGUCCUGCAGUGUGUGUUUUGCAGGGCUUAUCUGGGCUCCCUGCAAAGCUAUUCAAGCUCCACAGACCAAGAUUUUGAAUGUGACCUUCUCCUCCAUCCCUGCCCCAUCUCUAUCCCAAAUUGUUCUCCCAUACCUGCUGGGGUGGGGACAGGGAAUGUAUCAGGAAUGGUAUAUACCAGUAUGUGUUUGAGGAGGGACCUAACGGAAGAGUAUGGAAAUAUACUGUUAAAUAGAAAGAAGGAAUCUGCACGGUGGCCCGGUCAGGAAUGAUUUAAAGAG